rnacentral:rRNA from 1 species
CACGUAGGGCGCGAGCGUUGUCCGGAAUUAUUGGGCGUAAAGAGCUCGUAGGCGGCCUGUUGCGUCCGCUGUGAAAGCCCGGGGCUUAACCCCGGGUCGGCAGUGGAUACGGGCAGGCUAGAGGUAGGUAGGGGAGAAUGGAAUUCCCGGUGUAGCGGUGAAAUGCGCAGAUAUCGGGAGGAACACCUGUGGCGAAAGCGGCGCACUGGACCAUAACUGACGCUGAUGCGCGAAAGCUAGGGGAGCAAACAGG